CUCACCGGCUUCUCCAGAAGAGGCUCCAGUCCCCUCUCAGGAGAGCCGAAGGCAGACUGUGACCAGAGGCUCUGUUCAGCUGACCUUCCCUGGAAGCCGUCACCUGCCAAAAAUAGACAGCCCUUCUCGGGCUUCUGUUACUUUGUAUACUGACUACCAUUUUCAUUUCUGCACGUGCAAAUCCUGCCUGAUAAAUUUUUCUAAGAUUUUCUUUUGAUUGAGGCAGAAAUUAAAGAGUGGAGAGAAGAAUGUGCCCAGAAGUCAUGAAGUCCCAGAAGCUGGUAUGCAAAGGAACAUAGCUGUGUGCUGGGGCCCUAGUGGGCGCCGAGUACUUGGCGGGGACCUGGGGCACAGCCACGAGCAGGAUGGUGACUGCCCGCGAGGAGCAGACAAGCUAGCGGGGAACAGAUGACAAAGUCAUGACACAGACGCACAUGUAAUUAAGGGAAGUUAUCCGAGAGCUGCUAGAAUCGAUCCUGAAGAACUACAUGUGGACAAUACCGCAAUUUCUGGAAUUUCUUGUUGAAAUGGAUUUUUUCUGAAUUUCCACCAAACAUCCUUAUGUUUAAGGCUCUCCCUAAUUAUUUGUGUGUCUAUUGCUUCAGGUGAGAAAGAACAUUUCCAAAUAAAAAUUAAUUGAAAAUAUUCUUUGGUUAAUUAUGAUCAAAGAUAAAUUGAUAAAUGUGAUCAAUCUGAGCUACUUCUUGAACAUAAAAAUAUGCAAAGAUCAGGGGAGCCCAGGUGGCUCAGUCAGUUAAGUGUCCGACUUCGGCUCAGGUCAUGAUCUCGAGGUCUGUGAGUUCAAGCCCCGCAUCAGGCUCU